UUCUCGACAUAAGAUCACAGAUUUUGUUGCUCUCAAAAAAUGUUUGUAUUUUUUCAUGCACAGAUCACUUGACAGUAUGCAGUGUUUCACGAUGAGGUUUAAAUGUUGUGUUUUAUGGAACUUAUUUAAGGCAAAUAUUUUAUAUUGUUAUUUUUUAAACUCACAUUGUUUAUAUGUAAAUAUUAAAUUGACUUAUUUUGUAGUGGGAAGCACAUUAGAUAUUUAAAACGAAAAAUCACUGUCUCCUAGUUGUCAAUUUAAUUGCGCGGUUUGGAUGCCAUUGGUUAAAAAGUUUAUUGGUAAAUUAAAGGUGUAAAAUCACACUCAACCACACUUGAAUAAUGCAUCUGCCCCAGCAACUUUGGGAUCAUGCCCGCAGAGGGAGAAUCAUCUGUCGUGUAUUGGCAUCCUUUGAAGUUCUGGAGGCGUUUCCUUGACUUGGCUGUGAAGUAUGGACCAAUAGCUUGGUAGGAAUUCUGCAACAAUAGGUAUUCUUCCUUCUGACCCCCUUUGGAGGAAUAUAAAGUACACGACGGAGCGCGCAUCACUUCCUCGAAUCAGUACAUUGCCUUUGUCUUAUCACUUUGGAUUUAAAAUAAUGGCUUACUUCUUCCGUUGGGCCUUUCUAUUCCCUAUUUGGGACAAAGCUAUCCUUGGACACACUUGGUAAGUGGAUCAUCAACUGCGAUAAUGUAAACAGUUUUGCUUUUGUUAACGCGUUUUUUUAACCUUUUCUAUUCAUAGGACAAUGAACAAUUUGCUGAUAACUGGGCCAAAGGCUUAUCUUACCUAUGCAAAUAGUGUGCGGGUUGGGGCACAGAGUGGGAUACAUGAGUGCAAACACCAGUUUGCAUGGGACAGGUGGAACUGCCCGGACACCGCUCUGCAACUCUCUACUCACAAAGG
ensembl:processed_transcript